rnacentral:rRNA from 1 species
AAGGGCACCACAAGAACGCGUGGAGCAUGUGGCUUAAUUUGACUCAACGCGGGAAAUCUUACCGGGUCCGGACACACUGAGGAUUGACAGGCAAUAUUAAUUUCUGCAGCUUCGGCUAAAGUUAUUAUGUUAAAUAUGCUAGUCCUUUCAUGAUUAUGUGAUAGGUGGUGCAUGGCCGUUCUUAGUUCGUGGAGUGAUCUGUCUGCUUAAUUGCGUUUCACUAAGGGCCUAUAAAUUACGUGUGUUGCGGUACUUUGACCCCUCUUUUUUCACGAGAAGAGCGCGUGUCUUAGUUUGCUUAGCUCACACAAUUAGGUCCUGAAAGCAACGAACGUGACCGCAACCUCUUGUUGCCUUUAUACCAAACAUGGAUAUUCUCUUCGGAGGGUUUCAUGAAAAAAGGCUUUUUAAACUAGAGGGACCGCUGUUACUUUCUUAAACCAGAGGAGGGUUGCGGCAAUAACAGGUCUGUGAUGCCCUUAGAUGUUCCGGGCUGCACACGUGCUACAAUGAUUAUUGCAGUGAGCAUCUCAUUUUUUACACACCGCAUACGCGAGUCCAUUUAUUCACUCUCGGGUGCUUUAAAUGUGCAUCUCUGCGAGCGGUAAAGCCUGCUUCGAAAGUAAGUGGGUAAUCAAUUAGAAGUAAUGAUUUCCUUUUUUUCUAGCACACAUAUAUACGGCGUUUAUACCCGGGCUGCCUUGUUGUAGCUUUUGUGCGUAUAGAUGUUUUUUCCGUAUGUGCGAUUGUCAAUUCAUGGUGGGGACAGACCAUUGUUAAUUGUUGGUCUCGGUCUUAACUAGGAAUGCCUUGUACGGGUCUUUGGUUCAACAAACCACCCGGAAUACGUCCCUGCCCUUUGUACACACCGCCCGUCGCUCUUACCGAUGGACUUCUCUGUGAGUUUGAGGGACUGGGAACGCAGGUUUUUUAUUAAAUCUGCACACCUAUGGAAACUUAAACGAACAGUGUGGUCUAAAGGAAAGAGAAGUCGAACAAGGCAU